rnacentral:lncRNA from 1 species
UUCUCCGCUGCCUCCUGGGGACGGGGACGAGGGCCAAGAAUCAGUUUCCUCUUUUGGAGUCAUGGAUCAGUGAGGUCCCAUAGAGUACUGGACAUGACCGUUACAGAGUAUCGCCAUCCCUCUCGGGACUCUUCAGAACUUGAUGACAAGAUCCUAUCACUGAGGACAAACACAAGCGAUCUAGGGCUUAGGAUCUGAACAAGUUGCUUUGCAUAGGCUCUGCUCUGAAGACUGAGGUGGGUCUGCCACUCUGUAGGCUGAAACACGAGCUCUGGAGACUGUCAUUUGCACUUGUGUCUAGAAGUGCCUGUCUUCUGACUAUCGUAUUCUUCCAUGGAGCAC